rnacentral:rRNA from 1 species
AACGGGUGAGUAAAGUAUCGGAACGUACCUUUCAGUGGGGGAUAACGCAGCGAAAGUUGCGCUAAUACCGCAUAUUCUGUGAGCAGGAAAGCAGGGGAUCGCAAGACCUUGCGCUGAUUGAGCGGCCGAUAUCAGAUUAGCUAGUUGGUGAGGUAAAGGCUCACCAAGGCGACGAUCUGUAGCGGGUCUGAGAGGAUGAUCCGCCACACUGGAACUGAGACACGGUCCAGACUCCUACGGGAGGCAGCAGUGGGGAAUUUUGGACAAUGGGGGCAACCCUGAUCCAGCCAUGCCGCGUGAGUGAAGAAGGCCUUCGGGUUGUAAAGCUCUUUCAGCCGGGAAGAAAUCGCACAGGCUAAUACCUUGUGUGGAUGACGGUACCGGAAUAAGAAGCACCGGCUAACUACGUGCCAGCAGCCGCGGUAAUACGUAGGGUGCGAGCGUUAAUCGGAAUUACUGGGCGUAAAGCGUGCGCAGGCGGUUUUGUAAGACAGGCGUGAAAUCCCCGGGCUCAACCUGGGAACUGCGCUUGUGACUGCAAGGCUAGAGUACGGCAGAGGGGGGGUGGAAUUCCACGUGUAGCAGUGAAAUGCGUAGAGAUGUGGAGGAACACCAAUGGCGAAGGCAGCCCCCUGGGUCGAUACUGACGCUCAUGCACGAAAGCGUGGGUAGCAAACAGGAUUAGAUACCCUGGUAGUCCACGCCCUAAACGAUGUCAACUAGGUGUUGGGUGGGUAAAACCAUUUAGUACCGGAGCUAACGCGUGAAGUUGACCGCCUGGGGAGUACGGCCGCAAG